CAGAAACCCAAGGUAGAAGAUGGAAGCUGCUGUGAGAGAAGUGACUGCUACUCAGGCUGCUUGCUCGCCAACCAGCACUGCUUGGGACAAAGAGGACUAAGAGGAAAACACAUCCUCAGACAGAUGUGUCCACUUAAUGAUCUGAAACGUCAAACCACAAUUCAGAGGAAAAGUCUGGCCGGGUACCCUUGUACUGGACGUGUGUUCUUGUACAUCUCCCCAAAACUCCCAGGGGAAGGAGGACUUUCGCAGUGGACCCUUGUCUCACAGAUGAGCUUACAUGCACACUUGGACUUCACAGAAGCACCAGCCUAAACACCAGUACACCUGAGCUAAAAUAAGCACCACUACCAGGAAUAAGGUUCUGGGAGCUUCAGCCUGCACGUAACGAUGCUAAGUAAUGACCCAACACAGGUGUGCGCCUGGAACUUACUCCCCCUCCACUUAGUCCACGAAGGACUCUGAGCAGCUUAUGAAGACACACAGAACACACGAGCACCGCAAACCUUUACAACAGGAGGAGGAAGAGAUGGAUAAAGAAAGAAUGAGGAAACAAAGGAAGAAUCAAAAAUGAGGUUUUAAAGGUGCACACCAAGAGGCCCAAGGCUCUGUGCACAGUCCUGGGUGCGGCUCACAAAGAAUCCACUUAGGGUGGCACCACCUGAGCUGGGCAGCAGGGUGGCCCGUGCCCCACCCCACCGCACCCCUACUUCAGCUUGGCUUGAAUUUUGUAGCAGGGAAGCCUGGUCAGGACUGUGUUUACCAAAACUGUUGUUCGGAAAAGGUACAAUAUUCCUGGCGUGGAGACCAGAUGGGGUUUCUCAUGGGGAGCCUCCUGGCGGUAAACGCAGCGCUGAGUCUCGGGACUGUGUUCCUGGAGGCUGUUAGUGGAGACCAGUGGCGUCUCACCAAAACACAAGUCAGCGUAACAGUUGUGUGGAGACCACGUUGGGAAUUUAAGUUCAACACGCAUUUGGAAAUCACACUUUGCAAACAUUCCGUAAAAUGUUUACUGAGUCAUCUCCAAGUCCCUGUUCCACCACUUACUGAGUGAUCACGCCUUCUCCAUGUGCCCAGAUUUCAACAAGGAAAUCACCUUGGCCACACGGACGACUUGUAUUUCCAAACGCAGACCUCUGACCCUGGUAAUGACUGAUGGGAAGGUACAAGCUCAUGACGGCAGCGUGGUAACUGCAGGCUGGAGGGAGCAAAUCAUUUCCCAACAGAGCACUGUCAGACGUGGAGGGACUCUCCAGUAUCGGCUGUUUAACAUUUACUUACGGAAAGUCUUCAAUGCCACCUGAUACUAAUGUUCCUGCAGCAAAGUGAGGCCACGUUCUAGAUCACGUUCUGAAGACUCUCUCAACUGUGAAACUUCGAAUGUGGAUGUGGGAAAGAACUACAUAACGUCCAACAGUCAGCGUUUAUUCAUUCACAGAACAGGCCAUUUCUGGGGCCGGUGAGAACACAGAUGUUUAAAGAUAUAACUGCUACUUGAGACAACGCAAGUGGCCAGAACACCCCUUGGAAGCUUGGACUUCCGUGAACAAUUUGCCGCACAGCCAGCCGAGGGAAGCAGCUGGAGUUUUCCUGCGUCCCACCAGGACAUGAAGCCUCUCAGCAUCCCGCCUGCACCUGCUGCUCCUCAGAAGUUACCCAUGCCUCUUCCCGCGUGACGCCGGCUGACCCCGGCCCUGGUCUGCGAGACGGCGUUGUGAGCGUCCGCGAGAUGAGCGCUGAAGUGAGAACCGGGCAGGGUGCUCUCCCUUGAUGUGCUCCUGGGAAGAAUUCAAAUCACUUCCCUCGAGAAGGAGGGCAGAUCGAAUCUAAAAUUAGUAAGUGUUCCUGAUGGAAGUCUACGCUAGUUACUGGGAAAUGCAACAGAUUCAAUACAGCAUCUAACCACUUAGGUGGGUGCAGGGCGAUGCUCUUACUCUCACACUGCAGAUGGCUCCUUUCCACUGGCCUCCCUGCUCUCCCCAGGAUGGCUUCCUCCAACCUAGACUUACACAGAGGCCCUGGCUGCCAAGAGCUGGGAUGUUAAGUGACGACACUGAAAGAGUCACUUUGGAAUGGACAACAUACCCCUUUUGCUCCUAAGUUGAGAAUUUUAUUCCCGUAAAGAUGUUUCAUAAAUGAUAUGACAGAUACGACACUGAGAUGACUGCUCUCUCCGACAGGCAGACUUCCUGGUCUUUGCCGCGAGCGGUGAAAGGCCCAGGAGACGGGGACGCCUCCUGCGGCCGGGUCAUCCCGGAGAGGCACGUGCUCUUGGGACUUCUGGUUCCUUGUCCGCAAAAUGAAGGAAUAGUACCAAGCAACCUCUCGGGCCCCCUUGGCUCUAGAAUUCUGAGUCUGUGAAACACUGACCAGAGUACGAGCACGGCUCCUGAUGUGUCCCUUUCAUCCCCUCUAAAAGCUGCCGGGCGGUUCCGACAGUGAGAUCUCAGGCCCUGGUUCCUGACCGCCAGUCUAUCUGGAUCAUGUGAGGAGUUAGACGAAAGCAAAGCACUGGCCGCGAAGGACAGUGAUGGAGGCGGCCAAUCCAAGGGUGUGGGUGUGGAGGGAAGACCAGGCCACCCCAGGCUGCAGGGGAGCGGGGCACAGAAGCCAGUGCCCACGUCACCCACGCCACUGCUGGUGGGGACUCGCCGUCCACAGGUGUCAGUGUGCUACCCACCCCCAUCCCGGGGUAGAGGAUGCAGGCGUGGGAGCCACACAACGGAGGGAAGGGAGCAACAAGCUUUUAGGACACAAAACAAGUAUCUUAUGCUCUGAAACCCACGGAUACACGUAUAUGUUACGUGUGGGCAAAGAACACAACAGACAUGCAGCGAACAGUAGUCGCCGCUGGAAGGGGGGUUGGGGACUCAGGUCCUGGUUUUGGUGGCAAAGUGGGUUCCCUCCACCCCCAGGAGCGCAUACACCAAGGUUCACGACAGGCGGCCUCCUAACAGGGCCGCAUCCUGGGGACACUAGCGGGGAUGGGCUUGGCGACAGAACAGCUGACUGUCUCCCAGUUAAUCUAUCCUGGUCCCCUUCCUGCUUCUGGGGAAACCAGAGAAGGGUGGGCCCGGAGUCCUGGCCACCGGCCUGAGGCUCUCCCUGCCAGGGCAGGCAGUGAUGCGGGCUGGACGUGGGGUGCGAGUUCUGCCCCCUGCCACGCACACAGCUGCACUGCUGGGAUCACAGCGGCACCUGCCUCUGCACGGACACUGCGUCUCCCGUGACUCCCCAGGAAGAGCCGUCACACCUGGCAGGGGCUCAGGGGCUCGGGGGGCGGGGCAGAAGGAGGCAGCACCAAAACUCUGCAGAGCUACAAUGAUGACAGCUGGACACCAGCUGCUGGCUGGCUGGUUCUGCUUGGCUUUGCAUCUAGAGAAACACGUGGAAGCCUCAGGGGAGAUUAUAGAAACACAGGAAGAACUACUUUUAAAAUAGAAACGAGGGGAGGGGACAGCUCAGUGGCAGAGUGCAUGCUUAGUAUGCAUGAGGUCCUGGGUUCAAUCCCCCGUACCUCCAUUAAGAAAAAAAAAUAAUAAAAAUAAUGGAAAAGACCUUUGUGGACACCUAGUUGAGUGGUUUCCAAAGUGGACUGAGGAGCCCGGGGAUUUCACACAGAUGUGAGAACCAAGGCACAGAGCUGUUAUCUAGGAAGCCACUGGAAGAAAGGAUUUUGCAGAUUCUGCAGCUGAAACGAGCUAAAAACACUGACUGCUCCCUCUUUUUAUGGAUGAGGAAACGAAGGGUCAGAGCGGACUGUGAGGAGUGACCUCGCACCCUAUCAGGACAGAGACACAGAAUCAACACCAAAGGUGUGCAACUCACACAUUAUACUUUAUAAAGGACACUGAUGAGGAAAAUAAGGCUUAAUUCAAUCGUCUCACAGGGUUGGCUUUGUACUCAUGUCCUGGUUACGUCGGCUUUGAGUGAAUUCUUCUGAUUCCAUUGUUUAUCUGCUCAAAGUUUUGCAAUCCUUAGAAUAGACAUAAUAAGUGCCUUCUGAUACUCAGCGAUGAUACAGAAGACUGCUUUUUUAAAUGGAAGUGGGGGUGAAAAUAUCAAAGUAUGCCCUCAAGUUGCUAUAUUUUCCUCAAACUUAGGACGUUUCCUCAAACUUCCUAAAAAUUUGGUCCUAAGACAUACUUCAACUUCGAAACUUAAUUAUUUUGUCUAUAUAAACACUGCCACUAAUAAAAUACCAUUUUUUAAUCUGGUAACUUGCCUAAGGGGAAGGUGUUGCAUGAACGAGUUUACAGGUGUGCCCAGCCAAUGAGCAGGCGGUGCAGAAGCCAACUUGGGUCACCUGCAUAGCGUCUGCUCAGACGUUCUCAUCAAGUUAAUGCCACUGACCACAUUUUAUGGCUCAUUUAUAUGAUGUGUUGGUAGCUAUCCUAGGCCUAUCUCUAGAAUUUAGAAAACACAGGUAACUUUUGUGCCUUAUGCUGUGUAAUUCCUGAAACUCCCAAAGCGAUCAAUACAAAGUAUUGACAUAAUACAGUAUCCAACUAAGAAAUUCUUGAACUUUGACUCUCAGGGGCUGAAUCCCUAUUUUGUCCCAUGAGUUUUUUUCUGAAUCAUUUAAAUUAUUUUGACGAGGGGGAAAUACCCCAAAUUUGGAGGCUGGCUGAUCAUACAUUUAAAAUAAACAUUUCUGUCCCAGGAAUAUUAAAGCUGGUCUUCUUUUUUUUUUCCUAUUACUUUAUCCGUAAGUAAUUAGUCUAGAGAUAGCACCUCAUACUUUCAGGUCAUCCACCCUUUUACAGAUGUUCUAGCACUUUGAUAAUAUAAAAUCAAGUUCUUAUUUAUCAGAUAAUUAAAACACAGUUCAAUUAAAUUUUGGAUUAAGUAAGCAUUUAAUUAUGUAAAUCUUUGCUAACCAUAGAAUCGGGUGAAAUGAUCAAUGAAUCAGGUAGAAGAGAGCUCCCUGAACUUUAUAAAAUGAUGCUGUAGUUGUCGAGGCUCAAACUGGAAGACUGAAGAUGACAAUUUUUUUUGGAAGAGUCUCAUUAUGUUUUUAUUAUUCAUCUAGUUUAUUCUAAAAUCUGUAACAGUGGUUCUCAAAGCAGGAUCCACAGAUCCGUGGGGGUCCCAAGACACCUUCAGGAGUUUGGUUAGGUCAGAAUUAACUUUUCAUGAAAAUACUAAGACCUCAUUAUGCUUUCACUGUGUUGACCUCUAAUCUGACUGUGGGAAAGCAAAGGUGGAUAAAACUGCUGGCACCUUAGCAGAGAUCAAGGUGAUAGCACCAAAAGGUCCUGUGGCCAUGGUGCUCCUCACCCUCCCGCACUCGACGUAAAGCCGGUGCCACGCCCACCAAACGGCCUGGAUGGAGGAGGAAGUCUUCCUUGAUGAAGACGUGCUACUCGUAUGAAAUCUCGCCCUUGAGGACACGCUUUGUAGUCUUCUGUGAGACAGGAGGGAGGUGUGCACAAAGGACUUCCGCGCCCACCGAGUACAACUGUUGUCUCGAGGAAGAGCACUGUGCCACUGAGUCCCACGUGAAGUCGCCAAGUUCCUCACAAAUGCCAUCGGUACCCGAAAGGACCUGUGGAGGAACCAUGGGCAACCAGACUUGGCUGUUCGGCAUUUUCUCAAAACACAAAUGACGGGAGUCUGACACUUCAAGGAAAGCAACUGACGUCCUUUGUUGCUGAUGAUAAAACUUGAGCUUUCCAGCAAAACUCAGAAUCUCGGAAUUAUGACAGCAUCCCAGGGGUUAAAGAUAUUUCUGAUGAGACUGACGACACUAUUAACAAAUGGGGCUUUGCUAUUGUUACUGUACAAGGAAGCUGUCGAUACUUGGACAAUCUGCACUGCUCAGGAAACCGGUAUUUUCUAGCUGACCAACACACGGUGCUACAACAUCACGUAAGGUAGGGGACCCGUCCAAGGGCAAGACUGACAGACAACAGGGGAGUGAAAGGUCUUCUGCAGGAUUCAGAGUCUACAUGGUGACUACGUUGAAGACGCGCCCGCUUGUGUUUUGGUGUGGUGUGGAAGGAUAGCCACAGUUACCUUCCAUCCCCCACUUCCCAGUUCCAUGUCUGUGCGAGGCCAGGUUUUCUUCAUAUACUUCGUGCGGGCACAGACUGAACGCAGAACCAGGCUGUGUUCUGUAAGCCAGGUGUUACAGGAACUGGUGAAAAUCCAGGAUAAGUCCACUCUUAUUAGACUUUUUUUGGGGGGAGGGUAAAUUCAGUUAUUUUUCAUAAAAUAUGUUCACAUGGAACGGGGUUUAUUAUUAUUAAUUAAGUUAAUAAUUUAAAACUUCCGUUUUAAAUUCAGUAUAAUAAACUGCGAUAGAUAUAGCCCAUAUAAACUACAGCUCUACAGUUCGGGGCUCUCAAUAAUGUUUAAACAUGUAAAGGGGUCUCGAGACCAAAAAGCUGAAGAACUGCUGGUCUAGAGGCUUUGAACACGCCCAUCUGUUCACCAGGUACGCUCCAUGCUUCCCCUUCACAUGACGCGUUCUCAUACCUGCUCUUCUAUAACUAAGGUAUGUUUCCACAACAACCCUGAUGAGCACAAUGUGAAACUAUUUUCACAGGUUAAUAAUAGAAGCAUUAUCAAUGUUUUUCUUGUUACUGCAUAAUUUCUCCCACAAGUAUCAGUAAUUCUCCUGGGUGGAAGCAAAGGGGAUGGAAACAAGGGGAUCACUCAAGAGGAGAAAUGAGUGGAAUAACUUAGGAUAAAGCUCAAAUAAAUAUGCACCAAAUUUGGGAAAUGUCACUGGGGACCCCACUGACAAGGGCGGACUUAGAUAAGAGAUAAGGGUGGGGCCUUUUCAUUUAAGUGGAAGAAAGGAUGGCCCUCUGUUCCACACCCAGUACUUGUUAUGUUUAAAAACAAGAGAGAGGAGAUACUGCGUGUCCACGAACAAUCACUGGACACUCUGAUGGCCUGCAGUGACGUUGCUGGAGACCUGCCAUGAAACCUGCCACCGCCAGUAACUGACUUCAUUUCACCUGGGACCAGGGCUUCCUGUUUGGCUCAUCCCACCAGUCCAUGCUGACUGUCCCUGAUAAUGCUGGAAGUCCCAUCUCUGCUUUUUCACUGGGUUCCACCCCCACUCCCCGCCCCGCCCCUCCAGCCAGCAUUACCUUUGAUCGACCCCUUAGAGCAGCGAUCACGAAUCAGGGGAGACACUGCCCUACAGGGGACAUAAGGCAAAGCGUGGAGACAUUCCGGGUUGUCACAGUUAGGGAUGGGGGUGGGGGUUGUGCUACAGGUAUCUAGUGGGUAGAUUCCAGAGACGCCACUACAUGUCCUGCAACGCACAGGCAACGUGCAGGACAGCCACUGGC